UACGUAGGGGGCAAGCGUUGUCCGGAAUCAUUGGGCGUAAAGAGCGCGUAGGCGGCCCUGUAAGUCCGCUGUGAAAGUCAAGGGCUCAACCCUUGGAUGCCGGUGGAUACUGCAGGGCUAGAGUCCGGAAGAGGCGAGUGGAAUUCCUGGUGUAGCGGUGAAAUGCGCAGAUAUCAGGAGGAACACCGGUGGCGAAGGCGGUUCUCUGGGCCUUACCUGACACUGAGGAGCGAAAGCGUGGGGAGCGAACAGG
rnacentral:rRNA from 1 species